UGGGGAAUUUUGGACAAUGGGCGCAAGCCUGAUCCAGCAAUGCCGCGUGCAGGAUGAAGGCCUUCGGGUUGUAAACUGCUUUUGUACGGAGCGAAAAGGUCUGCCCUAAUACGGUGGGCUCAUGACGGUACCGUAAGAAUAAGCACCGGCUAACUACGUGCCAGCAGCCGCGGUAAUACGUAGGGUGCGAGCGUUAAUCGGAAUUACUGGGCGUAAAGCGUGCGCAGGCGGUUAUAUAAGACAGGUGUGAAAUCCCCGGGCUCAACCUGGGACCUGCAUUUGUGACUGUAUAGCUAGAGUACGGUAGAGGGGGAUGGAAUUCCGCGUGUAGCAGUGAAAUGCGUAGAUAUGCGGAGGAACACCGAUGGCGAAGGCAAUCCCCUGGACCUGUACUGACGCUUAUGCACGAAAGCGUGGGGAUCAAACA
rnacentral:rRNA from 1 species